rnacentral:lncRNA from 1 species
CUGUGAGUUUUCUGAGAGUCUCUCAUAUCUAAAACUCCUUCUCCUACUUUUCAUCUUUGAAAGAGUCCAAAUUAAGAAGAAGGAGGCAUUUGAUCGACCAUCGAAGAAGGAUCAGCACAGUACUAGCAUACUGUGCUGAUUUUCUGGACUAGGACUUCUGAUCGUGAUUUGUAAGCUUGUGUGGAUGACUCCUAGAGGCCGAAUGCA